AAUGAACGCUGGCGGUAGGCCUAACACAUGCAAGUCGGGCGGACGAAGGGAGCUUGCUCCUGGUUUCAGCGGGGGACGGGUGAGUAAUGCCCGGGAAACUGCCUGGUAGUGUGGGAUAACACUCGUAAACGGACGCUAAUACAGCAUAUGUUCUGUGCGGGAAAGAGAGGGAUCUUCGGACCUCACGCUAUCAGAAGAGCCUAGGUCGGAUGAGCUAGUUGGUGGGGAAGACGCCUACCAAGGCGACGAUCCGUAACUGGUCUGAGAGGAUGAUCAGGCACACUGGAAGUGAGACACGGUCCAGACUCCUGCGGUAGGCAGCAGUGGGGAAUAUUGGGCGAUGGGCGAAAGCCUGAUCCUGCCAUGCCGCGUGUAUGAAGAAGGUCUUCGGAUUGUAAAGCACUUUAAGUUGUGAGGAAGUACAGUAAGUUUAUAACUUGCUGUUUUGACGUUACCAACAGAAAAAGCACCGGCUAACUUCGUG
rnacentral:rRNA from 1 species